UCCACAACCUGCAGAUGCAUCACUGAGGGUGGAAGGAGAAAAUCACCUGUCAAGAAGUGGUGUACAUGCCAAGCCUGGGUUUAAAGGUCAUUGGAUUGUAGGAGGAGGGAUCAGUUGGGGGAGCUCUGGAGUGCAUGACCUCUCCUGUGGGAAGGAGAGAGCCAUCCCCAUUUGUCUAAGGUGGAGAACGCAGAUGCAGCUUGGCAGAAGAUGAGACAUUAGGGAAUCCAAAGUGUACAUUUGAGCACUUCUGGAAGAUAACCAGCUAAAAUGCACUGAAAAUGGGAUUAUCAAGAAAGAAAAGGUUUUUCAAGUAAUGAUGGCCACAGAUCGUGGUCACUAUGCUAAAUCUAACCCCUACAUGGAUUCCCCCCAGUCAAUAGGCUUUCAAGCAACAAUCAGUGCCCCACACAUGCAUGCGUACGCUCUGGAGUUGCUUCAUGAUCAUCUGUAUGAUGGGGCUAAGGCACUUGAUGUAGGUUCUGGUAGUGGAGUCCUCACUGCUUGCUUUGCAAGAAUGGUUGGUCCAAAUGGGAAAGUCAUAGGAAUCGAUCAUAUUAAGGAACUCGUAGAUGACUCUUUGAAGAAUGUUAAGAAAGAUGAUCCUACUUUGCUUACCUCAUCAAGAAUAACACUUUUAGUGGGUGAUGGAAGACGGGGAUAUCCAGAAGACGCUCCUUAUGAUGCUAUCCAUGUUGGUGCUGCAGCAAGUGUAGUACCACAAGCAUUGUUAGAGCAGUUGAAACCGGGUGGGAGAUUAAUAUUACCAGUCGGCCCCCCAGGAGGAAAUCAGAUGCUGGAGCAACAUGACAAAUUAGAGGAUGGCAGCAUCAAAAUGAAGCCACUGAUGGGAGUAAUAUAUGUGCCUUUAACGGAUGAAGGGUCUCAGUGGCCAAGGUGGAAAUGAUUUUCUACAUAAUCUUUCUUCCACUAAGAUGAGCAGGUAAACUGGCAACAAAGGGAGUAGUUUAUGCCAAUCUAAGGGAUGAAAUGUGAAGCUUCAUCUGUGUUCGGAUUCUUAUUUGUGGAGUGGACAUCUCCAGUUCUAAACACCUUGAAACCAACAGCAUUGCAGCUUGUUUUGAACUUUUUAAAAAUACUUAAUGCUGGUGUGUAGCAGUGCUCUUUUAGCGGCCUAACAAAUUAAAUCAGACUGGAGGAGUACUGCUUUAAGAGGCUUUAAAGAAAAAUACUGGAAGACAUCUUACAUGUCUUGAUUUAGCUUUUAACUGGUAUAGGAAUUGAAGCUAAGACUUAACAAAACAGCAUGGCUGAUUCAUUCAGUGUAUCCACCUAAGGUUUUGUUUGGAUAUGCAAUGUUGUAUUGUGUUCAAAUCCUUCACUAUUAACAUGCAGAUUUAUUCUGUGCACCUUAUGACACUACAUGCUUAUGAAAUGUUCAGCAUACAGAUCACAAAAUGCCUCUUAAGACAAUUUUAGUGAGCUUCCCACCAAGUGUUGAGUUGCAUUAAUAUCAUCUCACCGAUUCUCCUUUUUCCCUGUAACUCUUACAUCAUAAUUGUAUUAUAGGCAGCAACAACAAUUCAUGUACAGAUUUGAACAUAUUGAUGCUUUUCAAAAAAUCUGAUGUUCUGUGCUGCUGUUCUGUAAUUUGUGUUGGUUCAUAACUGAACUUGGUGGCUACAAUGUAACAUGCUGUAUAAGCUUAAGCAAUGCUGUAUGGAUAUUAGGAAGAUACCUGGACAAUGUAUGCAUUAUUGCUUUGCCAAAUAAAUUUGAAAUGCACAUAAAA